rnacentral:rRNA from 1 species
GUGGGGAAUCUUGCGCAAUGGGCGAAAGCCUGACGCAGCCAUGCCGCGUGAAUGAUGAAGGUCUUAGGAUUGUAUAAUUCUUUCACCGGGGACGAUAAUGACGGUACCCGGAGAAGAAGCCCCGGCUAACUUCGUGCCAGCAGCCGCGGUAAUACGAAGGGGGCUAGCGUUGCUCGGAAUUACUGGGCGUAAAGGGCGCGUAGGCGGACAGUUUAGUCAGAGGUGAAAGCCCAGGGCUCAACCUUGGAAUUGCCUUUGAUACUGGCUGUCUUGAGUACGGGAGAGGUGAGUGGAACUCCGAGUGUAGAGGUGAAAUUCGUAGAUAUUCGGAAGAACACCAGUGGCGAAGGCGACUCACUGGCCCGUUACUGACGCUGAGGCGCGAAAGCGUGGGGAGCAAACAGGAUUAGAUACCCUGGUAGUCC